rnacentral:misc_RNA from 1 species
GAAGUUACCAACUUCCGGGAAGGGUGGAAGUAGUUUGGUUUAUGCUUUCUAUGCAGUCCAUGAAAUUAAAAGGAGGAGUGGGGGUUGGAUGAGCCAUGGACCAAAAGAGAAAAGUGCUGGCUUUGGUUAUAAAGUUAUUGGCCAGAUGGAGAUUUCUUGUUCUGAAGUUCAAAACUCAAGUGUACAUGAGCAGAAAAGCAUAUCUGUGCAA